ensembl:snoRNA
AAGCAGCGCUCUGUGGCAGAUGAUCGAAAUAGUCUGACACCAUGAACUCGCUAUAGCAAGAGGGUGUAACCUGGUUCACUGUUCUCCGUUAAGACCACGUGUUCCAGCUUAAAAAAA